rnacentral:lncRNA from 1 species
AUAACAUGAAAAUAUUCAUAAGUUAAUAUAACUUAACAUAUAACUUGGAAACAAAAAUUAUAUAUAAACUGAACGAUAUUUAUUAAGGAUAGAAUGGGCUUAUUCACGCAAAUACACAAAAAGAUGAUAAAGAUUAGAAUGGAACUUUGCUCAGUAUUCUCCAAACGAAAAAAUCCAAAUCGAACCGGCCACAACUAGCUAUUGACUGAACAUUGAACCGACGACCUCGAUGGAUUGAACCUCGCUACUCGAAGGGAAAGAGGUUCGUGCCAUGUGCCAUGAAUUCUCAUGGUUGUAUUAGGACUGGUUUUGAGGUGUUUAAGGUGAAAUAGAGCUCGCCGGAAGUAGUGAAAUUCCGACGAGACAGCAAGCUAACAAAUCUGUAGCUGCGUUUUCUAUUGAAAGCGAUGAGAAGAAGAAGACGCCAUCGUUUUUCCUUUGUAAAAAUCCCUCCCUUCUUUCCUUGCUAUUCUUUUUCAAUUUUCCUCACUUCUCAAUCUUCUCAUUUUU